UUCGAAAGAACCAAAAAUAUUAAUGACAGGAAAAUAGAAUGAAUCCAUGAGCUAUCAGCCUUGUGAUUAUGAAGAGGAACCUGUCCCAAAUACUGAACUCACACAGAUAUUAUUGAAGACCUAUACAGUCCUAGGACCGCAGCAAUGGACUUUGUGAGCGAACUGGUAAGAAAACAUGGAAAAGAGAAGCUUCAAAAGUUCAUAUUAUUUAUUGUGGAGAUUUUUAAAAGUUUGUGCACAAGAAUUGGCUUAAGCUCCUUGAACCGAGUUUCAGCAAGAUCAAAACCAUCCUUCCGGUGUUCCUGCAAUAAAAAAAACAAGUCAAAGAAGAUUUACUGAAAAGAAAAAAGUAUUA